UGAGAUCGGAAUCGGAUCACCCUGAUAUGUUCCGAAUCCGAUUCAAUACGGUUCUGCGUCUUAAAUCAUUUCUUAGUUUUUCUUAAACAAUUUCUAGGGUUUAUUUCCCGAGUUUCGUGACGAUUUCGAGUUUCAAAUUCAAUCGAUGCAUUAGCUUUCAAAACUGGUAAUAAUCACUCUCCUACGUAUAUAUACAUAUAUUUAUACGUAUAUGUAUAUCUAUCAUACUUAACAUGCUUGUGUGUUACAGGGUUUGAGAUCCGAUUGAAGAGUUUGUGGUGGAGGGUGGGAUUUGAUUAGAAAUAGUUGAAGAUUCCGUAUAUUUUUGUUGAUUUCAUGGGAGUAAAAGAGAUUUAGACAUGGAAACGGAUGGGUUUGAGCAAUUGAAGAAUCAGAUACAGGAAUGGCUACAAGAAGCAGAAAAAUUGAUGCUUCAGAUACCCCAAACUCAACUUUACGCAGCAAUUGGGUUUGUUUUUCUGACUAAAUUUUUCUGCUUUUUGGUAAUUCGCACUGUUCCCUUACAAAAUUGUAAUAUCUAUGAAUAGUUUCACACUUAGUGAAUUUGGUGGGUGAUUGUUUUGAUUCUCUCUUUGGUUGACAUUCUUGGUUUUGGAAGAAAGUUAUGCUGUAUGUGUCAUUUUCAUUCUCAUCCUGAUAACGUUCCUGGCAUUAAAAUUAACAUUUUAGCUUUACUUUGUUAGGAAUAAUGGGAGGAAUCGAUACAUCUUUCACUCACAUAUAUAUCUUUUAUAGUAACAGGUUUGGAUAUACACUGUUGUAUCGUUUUGCAAUCUACUAGUGAUCAGUGCCCACACACUGUGUGUGGAAAAGUGGGAUAUUUAAGCAGAACUAAUUCUUGAACGUGAAUUGAUUUUGUUUUGUUUUUUUAUAGCAAUUAUUGUUGUGAAGUUGUUUUUUAGAAGUUUUUUUUUUUGUUAUUGAGUGGUUAUUGUUGUGAAAUGGUUGUGGGUAUUUUUAGCAUAAAAGGUGUGAGGGGCUUCAUCUACACCAAAUGGGGCGUUUUCUUUUAAUAAUAGUAUAGAUUAAUAAAUGCAUGAUUUUGCCCUUAUUUAGUUUUAUUAGGCUGCAAACCUGAAGAAAUGGCAGGAAGAUGCUUAAGAGAAAGAGGAACUGAGUUCAUAAGACAGCCAUUCUAUGUGACAUAGUUUGUCUUUAUGUUCAUAAUGUUCCAUUCAAGCAAUGAAAUUGCAUAAUAUCGUACAUCUAACAGUAUUUUGUAAAACUUUUAUGUGUUUUACAUUUAUAGGGUCUGUGAUUAAAAUAAUGGUUCCUUGGUAGCCUCAGCUGGCUCUCUGGACUUAUUUCAUGCUUCGCCAAAUACUCAAUUUUGUUGUUUUGACAUGUUACCAGCAUGUAUGGCUGGUCAGAAGCUGAUUUUCUCAAUAUUUGAUGCAAAAGGUCUAGGAGAACUCCAUCCAAAGAUGGGGUUGUAGAAGUGUUUCCUUAUAAUCAAGGGGACGAGUGCAUUCUGAUUUGUUUGUUUGAAAUAGAUUAAUUUUGUUGGAAAUAUAAUUUGUACUUCUUAAUAAAUUCGCUCUUUCUCUUUCUCUCUCUUGAUUUCAAAUAGAGUAUUACUUCAUCAUCUGUCGUCAUUGUUUAUGUUUUAGUUUUUGAAUCAGAGUAAUACUUCAUCGUAUGUUGCCAUUACUGAGUUUGUUUUUUCAACUGAUGGUUAUAACAUUGAAUUUUAUUUACAAAUCGUCGCCCUUGCUUAUCUUUGCAGUUCGUUUGUUUAAGCGCUCAAAACAUAACACCAUAGUUCUGACUGGGCUUAGUGGAAGCGGAAAAACUGUUAUUUUCUUCCAAGUAAGCAUCGAAAAUAAUGCUUUUCUUCACUGCUUUGUGCUAAUGACAUUUAAGUCACUGCUUUAUUCUCUUGACGAGGAGAGUUGCAUGACUUGAACCCAUCAUCUGGGGGCAGUGAUUUCAGGUUGACCUUGAAUUAUGUUCCGUGAUGAGGCUUUUGCUUUGCUUUGGAUAUAUUGUUACAUCCGUAAGAAGUUGACACGUAUCAACUUGAAGAUGUUAUUCAUGACAGUAUUUACAAAGAAUUUUUUUCAGUACUACUGUAGAAACUUAUUAUUUCGAUAUAUGGUUAAUGUUACCAUACUAAUUUUUGUUUUUGUUUACAAAGUGUUUGAUUCUAUCUUCUAAAAGUUACUUAAGAUAGCACUAGAGAAUCAAUUCUAGACUCGAUACCCAUAUUUCUAAAAUGCCUAACAUGGUGAGGAGAUGGUUGGCAGCCUGGAUGCAUUAUGUUUGAUGAUCUGAGUUAAGACGUACAUGUACCAAGUUUUAUCUUUUUUACCAUUGAGUUUGAUGGAAGAGUUCCUGUUUGCUUUAAUAUAUGGAUGCUCAUUGUGCUGAGUUUUCAUAUAUACUUUCGUUGCUAACAUCUGGCGUGUGACUUGCGGAUAUUGACCUGACUAUUCUCCAGCUCUGAGAUGGCUCUUUCCAUCAGGGUACAGUGACAUCAAUGGAACCCAAUGAAGGCACUUUUGUGCUACAUUAUGAAAUGAGCAAGGUAAUAUAUUCACUUUUCUAUGUUGAAAACUUGAAACA
rnacentral:lncRNA from 1 species